CUCCAGGGUAUACUAUUACCCAUACAAAUAUGAAUCAAAGGGAAAUAUACACGGAGCUAUGCAAUAACAGUUCUCUGCAGGGUAUAUAUGUAUAGGAAAUAUUUUUAGAACUUGUACAAAUUCAUUUCAAUUAUUUCAUUUCAGAUAUUCAUUAUAAGUUGUUUGAAGAAGUCCCAAUGGGGUGGCGAGACAGCAAUUUGUGAUAAUCGUGACUUCCAUGUAAAGUUAGACCCAGCAUUUGUCCAGAAAUGUGAAGAUAGAGAAAUUCGUUAUUGGAACUGUCUACACAGUAAGGAUAGUUAUAAAAAUCGUUAUCAAAGCUGGCAAAUGCGUUUUAUAACCGAAGAUAAGGAUAAAGUUAACGAUUUUUUAAAAAAUGAAAAUUAUCAUUAUUCCUGG